rnacentral:rRNA from 1 species
GGCUGAAAUUCGCCUUCAUGAAGCCGGAAUUGCUAGUAAUGGCAGGUCAGCAUACUGCCGUGAAUACGUUCCCGGGCCUUGUACACACCGCCCGUCACACCAUGGGAGUUGGAAAUACCCGAAGCCUGUGAGCUAACUUUGCGGAGGCAGCAGUCGAAGGUGGGGUUGAUGAUUGGGGUGAAGUCGUAACAAGGUAGC